AUACCAGGGAGUUUAGUGCAGGCCACACUGGUUAGAUUGCAUUGUUGUGUUAAACAACACAUUAUGUUGGACCGGUUAGCUUAAACUUAUACUUAUGGCGAUGAUGCUGAUUAGAUUCACUCACUAAAUUCUACCUUUUAUAAUAGCUCUAUAGUGUCUAUAGUGUCCUGUUAUCUUCAUGUAUUCAGUAAACUAAAUCCACAAAGAGCAGUCAGUAUUGGAGUAGCUGGACAGGUCAGCUGAUCACAGUCCCUACAGGAAGAAACAUUUAUUGCUGCUCACAACAACAAAUUCUUAUGUGACCAGGCUGUACUGCUACACCUGCUCUCAGGGUUCCCUUGGUAACAAUGCACAGAUACAUUAGUUCUUGAGGAAAAAGAUUAACUGAAAUUAUUUUCCCGUUUCAGUUUGUGAAACUUGCAUUUCUGCAGCUUGAAGGGAGGGAAAACACUCACUGUGUGACUUUGGUUGCCAGCAGGUUACGCAGCUUGUCACUCCUGACUAUUGCCAGAUCCCCACCGCGGUUCAAACACUGUUUUCGAGCAUCAGUCCAGCUCAGCUCUCCUGGAAGGAUCUGGAAACAGCUUGAGGACUCGUGAUCGUGCGUCGCAUCUACUGGACAGAAAGGAGAGGCUGGAAGGGAACAGAAACAUGAAUGUUGUUUAACAAAUACUCUGAAGUCUACAUUCAAGCCAACCGAGCCCCAGCUGACAAGUGUGAGCUCCAGACUCCUAUUGGCCACAACAAGAGGUGGACAGUGCAGCUCUAGUUUGGGAGGAAGCGUUACAGUCACCUCCCCACGUGCAGACACCUGAACACACACAAGCCGUCAGACUGACUAUAUAAGAUCCAGGAAGUCCGUAUUUGUGAGCUGAUGUGGUGCUAACGGUUCCUGUGGUGUUGGCACGGGGUGAAAGGUCACCAAAGUCCCAGGACAGCGUCACAGGUGUGACAGAGGAGUUGGCGGUGAAAGUGAUGUGGUUGUGAACGCUUUGCAGCUGGAGAGGAGUCAGCGAGACCGAGAACUCCACCACAAAGACUUCGCGAGCCAGAGCCCACCCACAUUUCUGUGAAUUAAAGGAACCCAUAUGAAGAAGAGAAGGUUUUGGUGUUAAUACGUGGGCAGUCUGACACUGAGUAAAGGCCGAUCUUGGAGGUCAAGGGGGUGUCUGCAGCGCAAUUCAUUUGAGCGUCGAACUUGCACGCCUUUUUGCUGAAGACAGCUGACAAACCGGA